rnacentral:lncRNA from 1 species
UCUACAAAGCCGAUGCAGGGGCAUCAGCACUGGAAACUGCUGAGUGCUUUGAGGCGGCAGCUUUCCUUGAAGAACAUGCACCAAUUGAACCCUUCCGAUGACCACCUAUACUUCUGAACCUUCUAAACUAUGUAUGAUUCUUCUGCACCUUCCAAACUAUGUAUGAUUCUUCCGCACCUUCCAAACUAUGUAUGAUUCUUCCGCACCUUCUAAACUAUGUAUGAUAGUCAAUCAACCAGCGGUUUGUCAAUUAUACAGAAAGGUGAAAACAUAGAAUAUGAAAAAUUGUUGCACCCUCAUCUGUGUUGAAUUUGCUUCACCUGAAAUUAUAUUGAGUUCUUAUCUA